rnacentral:rRNA from 1 species
UCUCUCUGAAUCUGCGUACGGCUCCGCACACCAGUUGUAAACCAAAGCAAGCAAGCCCGGUCUCGACGCCUUUCGGGGCUAGGGGCCGGGCUACAAGGAUAACCCUGGUAAUUCUGAGGCUAAUACUUGACACGGAACCUGCUGACUGGGCCUCGGUCCGGGAGGUAGGGGAUGUGCGACCAUCGGGCCAAAGAAACCGGAAAGAGCGCACGUUCAGACCACUUAAAAAGGCCACGGGGUCCCUCGGGAUCUCGGGGCUGUGGCUCUUGCAGCGUGCUUCUGACCUAUCAACUAGACGGCAGCCUAAGGGACAUGCUUUGGUGACAACGGGUACAGAGGAUAAGGGUUCGAUCCUGGAGAGUGGGCCUGAGAGAUU